GUCUGUAUGGUUAGGUAUAUAGAGUCUAGCCUGCCCACUGAUAUAAAUUGAAGGGCCGCGGUAUUCUGACCGUGCGAAGGUAGCAUAAUCAUUAGUCUUUUAAUUGAAGGCUCGUAUGAAUGGUUGGACAAAAAGUAAGCUGUCUCUACUAUAUAAUUCGAAUUUAACUUUUAAGUGAAAAGGCUUAAAUAACCCGGGGGGACGAUAAGACCCUAUAAAGCUUUACAAUAAAAAAAGAUAUGUUACAAUGUAUUUAAGUAUAACUUGGCUUAUUUAAGAGUUGUUUCGUUGGGGCGACGAGAAUAUAAUUAAAUAACUGUUCUUAAAGAUAAGUGCAGUGAUCGCUGGAAUAAAACUGAUCCUCUAUUAGGGAUUAAAAGAUUAAGUUACUUUAGGGAUAACAGCGUAAUCUUCUUCAAGAGUCCAAAUCGACAAGAAGGGUUGCGACCUCGAUGUUGAAUUAAGGAAUCCUUGUGGUGCAGCAGUUACAAGAGGAAGGUCUGUUCGACCUUUAAAUCCUU
rnacentral:rRNA from 1 species